UGCCGAGCAUCCUGCCCAGGUGAUGAGGGACGCUCCGCGCGCCCCGCGCACAGGGCUGCUGCCGCUGGACGCCUCCAUUGUUUGACCACAAGGGCCGGGCGCUCCCAGCAGGAUCCAGGCUUCUACAGCCCUGCAGCUGCUGUGCCUGCCUCUGCCUCUUCGGGAAUGUCUUGGGGCCUCUGACGCCUGUUGCUGUGACCUGCAGACCCGGGAGACGGCCCUCGGGAGGAGAGCAAAGGGAGCUGCUUCCCCAGGACCAGAAGAGGUGUGUGGUGUUUCUGUCACGUUACAAGAUAGACGAGGGCAGCAGCAGCUUUCCGGACAAAGGCGUUGACUGACUUGAGUUUCCGUUGCAGAAGACUGGCGCACCAUCCUUUCUCUGGAGCAAGACACCGUCAGGGAGCUGCUUGUAGGGGGGCUUUCUGUCUGAUGUGGAGGAGGUGGAGCAACCCUCGGCCAGCUGGGCCAUCUCACCCUGCGCAUCUGGGGACACGUCCGCCCUUUCUCUAGACGUGACGAGUCUGAGGUUGCUCUCUCAGAAGAUUCUGGGGGCUCAGACACGCAGAGGUUUGCACAUUGGAAUGUUGAAAACUCAGGAA